UCCGGUCUCCUGCUAGACGUUUCAUUUUCAAUAAUUUCGCGGGAAUAUCCAGUCAGUGCUUUAUGUCAAAAUGUAGCUUUUAAUCUGUCACUGGCUAAAUUUGUAUCUGAUUUUUAGCUGGCAUUGGUCGUUGUGUUGCCAUGGAUGUGGAGCGCUUGUUGUGGCGCUUCGACGGGCGCACUCGCUUGCUCUUCCAGUCGCUGCUCUCCGGUGUGCGAGGAAUCAGCAGAGCCGUGCGGCUGUUUCACCGCCAGCGGCGCUCCGACCCGGACAUCUCGUUGCGUGCUUGUCUGGACACCUUGUGCAUGGAGGAACCACACAUCGUCGGGGACAAGCUGAAUUUAUCGUUAACCCCAUUGGUCUGUCUGUUCCCUGUUGCCUUCAAGUGUGGUCUGUUGUCCUUCCUCCAUCUGAUCUACCCCCUGGUCCCUGGGCCCUGCUUGAUUCGGCUCCUGGACUGCCUUAAGCAGGACCCUGCCCAGGAUCCCUGGAUCCAUGUCUUGCUUGGUCAGCUCUGUCGGGAUCUGGCCCUGGAUGAUCCCUUGGGAGGUGAGCUGUACUCUGCAUAUUGUAGGAACAAACUUGAGCAGUUCUGUCAGAGGCUGGGCAAUGCUGACCACAGUGCAUUGAGUCUGGGGAGUGCUUUUGGUGACCUGCCCCCCACAAGACCUCCCCAGGAGCCUGUGGGAGAGCCAGAUCUUCAGCUGCAUGGAAAGAGAAGAAAUGAGGCUUCUGAGGUGGCAGGGAGCCAGAGUAAAAAAAUGCGACUGGACCUCCCUGCCACCCAAGAGGAUGAUGGGAACAAGGAAGCACUGCCAUCGCAGGCCCAAGACAUCGUGCAGGAGACAGCAGCCUGGACUGCAGGGGAUGUUUGCAUGGUGGACUUCCGGGAGCCUCAGCAGUCAUUUCCUGAUGGUACCAGUUUGGUGCUGCCUGAGCACAUUAGGGCUUCUGUUACUGGAAUCAAAGAACUUUUAGAGACUACAGGAGAGUGGGUCAAAGACACUGACUCAGUUCUUCAAGUGCUGAACGAGUGUGAACCACCCCAGGUGGAGCUGCUGUGCGCAGAGCUGCAGCUGUCAGAGAUUCCGGAGCAGAUCCUGCCGCCUCUUUGCAGUGGCCUGCUGUCUCUGUGCCCUGACCUUAGCCAGUGCACGGCCACUGUGCUCACUAGGAGCCUCUUUUUCAAAAAAGUUCUCUCACUCCGGGAUCCGGCCUCUCGCUCCCUGCUCUCCGCAGUGACCUCAUUUGGCCGCCGCUACCCCAGGCCGGCCUGCUCUGCGCUGAUCAGCCCCAUUUUACAGUCAGGCCAGAUGAUCACAGGCAGGCUGGAGCUUAUCCCAGCUGACAUGGGACACAAGGCAGGGGAAUUCCCAGGACUGGCUGCCGUCAAGGGCGUACACACAAAUAAGCACCAGGCACAGGCAACUGAGAGCUACCAGCAGACCCAGCAUGUCUCUGCCAGAGGAGAGUUGUGCGAAAUGGGGGAGCACAUGCAAACACCAUAAACAUGGGGGAGGGGAGGGGUUUGUGCUGAUAGGCUACAGAACCACACUCAGUCAACGUGCUGCCUUGACCUUUAUACAGGGCUCAUUUUAAGUAUUUUCUUUAGUUUUUAGUGUAACAAAGUAAGCAUUAAUCGCUUAUCUGCCUGUAGUGGAUCUCAGCACAACUGUUACCCCACUCCCAGUGAAACAAGGGCAUAUGUGUAAGAAUGUAGUGAUCAACAAUAGUUACUGUUUCAUAUAUCUUAAUAGCACACAUUUGAGCUGUAAUGUAGAUUGAAGUACAGGUAGUUCUCAAUUCACGAGGAUUAACGUGAGUCAGUUGUAUGUAAGUUGAGAGCUACCUGUAAUUUAAAAUAAGUUAAUUCAUCCUGUGUAUUUCUGCUAUGUUUAUAGCAACUGCCUGCAUUUCUGUAUAAAAGUAUGCAUUUGCUGGGAUCUGGUCUUUGGGAUAGCUAAGGUACUUGGAAUAGUAAUGAGUAUGUUAGCUGUAACUCAUAAGAACAUAGGUACAGAUAGGAUAAGACACUUCUCAAGCUGGCAUCUUUGACAGUCUGGACCACUCAAAGGUGUGAAUUUCUGUUGUUUUGUGAGAAGACAGGGUCCAAGCUGAACUGCUGUGUCGACUGAUUGGGGACUGCCUUGAGCCCCAGUAUCAGCUGCUGAUAUUUGGGGAGACGCUUGUGCUGAGCUGGGGUGAGGAGGUCUUGUCAGUGGUGCACACCCUGCUGGAUUCCAAG